rnacentral:rRNA from 1 species
UACGUAGGGGCCAAGCGUUACCCGGAUUUACUGGGCGUAAAGGGCGUGUAGGUGGCUGCGUAAGUUUGCUGUGAAAUCUUUCGGCUCAACCGGGAGAGGUCAGCGAAUACUGCGCGGCUUGAGGGCAGCAGAGGAAGGUGGAAUUCCCGGUGUAGCGGUGAAAUGCGUAGAGAUCGGGAAGAACAUCAGUGGCGAAGGCGGC